UACGUAGGGCGCGAGCGUUGUCCGGAAUCAUUGGGCGUAAAGAGCUCGUAGGCGCUGUCGCGUCUGCUGUGAAAUCCCCGGGGCUCAACCCCCGGGCGUGCAGUGGAUACGGGGCUGGCUGGAGGCAGGCAGGGGAGAACGGAAUUCCCGGUGUAGCGGUGAAAUGCGCAGAUAUCGGGAGGAACACCGGUGGCGAAGGCGGCCCCCUGGGCCGGCCCUGACACUGAGACGCGAAGGCGUGGGGAGCGAACGGGG
rnacentral:rRNA from 1 species